UUGCGGCAUUUGUGAGAAAAUAAUCGUGCUCCGUAAUUUUUUAAUUUUUGACCAAAAGAAACAUUAAAAAAUGGUGAAACAUUGUAUUGUGCGUGGAUGUAAAAGAGAUUUAGCAUCUGAUCGCUAAAAUAGAAUGAAUUACUGAAAAACAAUUUGCGUCAAUCAUCUUUAUUCAAAGUACCAAACUACCAAAGAAUAACGUAUUGAGGGAAAAUGGGUAAAAGCUUUAUCACAACAAUUGACUCCAAAUCAGUUUGUGUGUGAGAAGCACUUUCGCGAAGAAGAUAUUAAGAAAAUUGAUCGAUUGAUUAUUAAUGGAGCUGAAAUUAUCAUCCCUCGCGAAAGGUGGACUCUUUUGAAUGACAAUGUCAUUCCAAUAAACCCUCAGGAUUUGGAAAAGGACAUUUCUGAAGAGCAAGUUCCAAUAGUGCAAAAUGACAUUAAUAACUGACCAAUCGAAAACCUGGAUUAUACACAACCCUCGUUAAAAAUCGUUCAAGGUAACAAUUUAAAAGAAGAUUCUCAAUCAGCAGGACCCCAUCAUAUGGAAUCACCAGAGAUUGUAACAGCUAAUAAUGUCAUUAUCUCGAACAUGUCUCCACCAUCAUGUGUUACACUAGAAGAGAUCCAUGCUCAUUUUCACUCAAUACUGAUCCAAGGAUGGUGUUAUUUUGCUUGUGAUGAAGAGUUGAUAUUAUAUAAGAUAUGAAUUUUACUAUUUCCAAUAAUCUUUCAGUGAAGGUUUCUUUCUCUCAACAACCAGAAAUUGUUAUUGAUACUACAUCAUCUAUAGAAGAUAUAAAAAUGUAUAUGGAAACUCUGCAAGCCACUAUUUUAUGUAAAGGAACUGACAUACAC